rnacentral:rRNA from 1 species
AGCGGAGGAAAAGAAACCAACAGGGAUUGCCUCAGUAGCGGCGAGUGAAGCGGCAAGAGCUCAGAUUUGAAAUCGCAGCGGCAACGCGGCGAGUUGUAGAUUGCAGGUGGGAGAGUUUGCGGGCGGCGGGCGUCGAAGUCCCUUGGAACAGGGCGCCACUGAGGGUGAGAGCCCCGUGCGAUGCCUGCCCAUGCUUUGAACUCCCCUCUGACGAGUCGAGUUGUUUGGGAAUGCAGCUCUAAGCGGGUGGUAAAUUCCAUCUAAGGCUAAAUACUGGCGAGAGACCGAUAGCGAACAAGUACUGUGAAGGAAAGAUGAAAAGCACUUUGAAAAGAGAGUGAAACAGCACGUGAAAUUGUUGAAAGGGAAGGGUAUUGGGCCCGACAUGGGAAUCGCGCACCGCUGCUCCUCGUGGGCGGCGCUCUGCGCUUUUCCUGGGCCAGCAUCGGUUUCCGCUGCAGGAGAAGGGGCUGUGGAAUGUGGCUGGCACGCUUGCGCGCCAGUGUUAUAGCCACGGGCCAGAUGCUGCGUGUGGGGACCGAGGGCUGCGACGGCAACGUCUCGGAUGC